rnacentral:lncRNA from 1 species
UUUAAGAAUACUAAGAGGUAUUAUCUUCUUUCUUAGCUUCUAUACAUGUUUAAAUUCCUGUGAUUGAGUUCACUAAAUAGAAAACAGGAACAUGUACACCCCAUUCUAAAUGACUGAGAAAGAAAUGGAUAAACAAGACCAUAUUUAGCAAAGCAUUUUAAUUUGGGGAAGAAACUGAACAAAGAAAAGAAAAAGAACAUUAAUAAUGCUGAACUUCAGUGAACUACAUUUAUUAGCAUCCAUGUUGUUCUCCCAGUUAAUAUAGAGAUAUCUUGUAUUAUACAGAAUAACUGUCACCCAUGUUUCCAUUUAUGACAACAUUCUGAAAAUAUUCCGAUUUGCUCAAAGCAGAGAUCAUCGAUGCCAGCUGAUUGAGUGCACUAACCUUCCCAGAUCUAUACAUGUGCAUGCUUGUAUAUGUAUAAAUGUAUACAGUGGUCACACCUCUGAGACUUUUUGGCUGCUGGUCAUCAACGGUUUCGCUGGUUCUGAUCCUGGGCGCGGACGUGGCACUGCUCAUCAGACCAUGACUCUUGGUCAGAACACAUCCUGACAAGACAGUUAAACAUAAACAAAGAGCUCUGUAACAAGUGCAACAAGAAGAGCAUCAUUUUUUUGUGAGCACACUUUGAUACUCCGUGGAGAAAUGCAUUGCCCCCAG